GGGGAAGCAGCAAGGCCUACAGAUGAACUUUUUCCCCUGAUGUAUUCUUAGGCAGAGCAAAGGCAGAUGCCAGGCUGGCCAGUCAUGUGUUCUUGGCCUAGCGUCCAGCAGUGUCUGGGAAGAGAUUGGCUACAAAAAGGAAUGAGUUGUUUUGAAACCAGGGAUUGACUAUGCACAUGUUUGGAAAUGCACGCUCCUAAACUGAGUUCUAGCUGUGUGACACGAGGGUGACUGUAGUCUGGACUCUGUGUACUAGGUGGGAACCCAGGCUCUGCAGUGAGACCAGCAAGAGCUGGAAUUUGGGUUGUCCCUUAGUAGCUGGGUGAGUUUUGCAUGUGUCUUAGCAUUUCGGGUACCAUUUCCUCCUCGGCAGAGUGCAGCUACUACUUGCAUGACUGUUAUGGAAACAAUGUGAUGAUGUUAGAAUGCAGCCUCUGAGCCUGGAUGUGGUGGCGUGUUUCUUUAAUCUCCUCACCUGGGCAGAGGCAGAUGGAUCUCCGUGAAGAUAUGGAUCUAAGCUACAUAUAGAGUUCCAGGCCAGUCAAGACUACAAGAAGGAGACCUUGUCUAAAAUCAAUCUGUCAAUCAAUCCAGCCUCUGCUUAGACCUGCCUCCAUCCACAGAUACCAACAGGCACCCUACAGAGACUGUUAGUACCUGUUAACAGAUAUCCUAGGACUGAGAUUUCUCACCUGGGAAAUGAGUUAACAUCAAGACAACAUUGGCAACACAUAUCCUGUUCCCCUCCCCUUCCCUGUCUCCUGUCUGGGAAUCAAAAAGCCUGACUCUUGAUGUGAAACUUCAGAAAGCAGUAAGAACAGAUCCGCACUUCA